CAAAAAAAAAAAAAAAAGGUUAUUUUAAGUGAAAGACCACUGCACACAAACAUGGACCCUGAAACCAUGGUCAUGCCAUUGAUUCUGAUCGUGCUUUUCUUCCCAUUUUGCACUUCCGUUGACACCUUAACACCAGACCAAUCCAUCAAGGAUGGCCAGUCUUUGAUUUCAAACAAAAAUAAUUUCGCCUUAGGCUUCUUCAGUCCCGGCAAUUCUAGCUACCGGUAUCUUGGUAUUUGGUUUGUCAAAGUGCCAAAACAAACUAUAGUGUGGGUGGCAAACAGGAAUGAUCCUAUUAUUGAUUCCUCUGGUGUUCUCUCCAUCAACCCCUAUGGAAACCUUGUCCUCCAUGACAGUUCUAAGCGUCUUCUUUGGUCUACAAAUGUGUCCUUCCAGGGGACAACCUCUGUUGCACAGCUUCAAGAUUCAGGAAAUUUGGUAUUGGUCCAAGGCAAUAACGAAAAGUUUAUAUGGCAAAGCUUUGAUCAUCCAACAGACACAGUGCUUCCAGGCAUGAGGAUUGGGUUGAAUCGAAUAACUGGGUUAGACAGGUUCUUGACAUCUUGGAAGUCACAAGAUGACCCCGGAACUGGGGACUACUUCUGUAAGAUAAAUCCUACUGGCUCUCCACAAGGCGUCUUGUAUAAGGGUUCGACUUUAUAUUGGCGGACAGGUCCGUGGCCAUGGCUCUCAUCAUCAUCAGCAGCAAUAUCCUCAUCGAGUUUUAAGUAUUAUUUUGUUAACAACGAAGAUGAGGUAUAUCACGCCUACUUUUUCGAUGACGCCUACGUCAUUUCUAGACUAGUGCUUCACAACUCUGGAUUGCUCCAGCACCUUAUGUGGAAUGACGGUGAUCUUCAAUGGAAGGAAUACUGGUCAGCACCUAAAUACCGGUGUGACAACUAUAGACACUGUGGUGCAUAUGGUAAGUGUGGUCCCGAGUCUGCCAGUUUUACUAGGUUUGAGUGUACUUGUUUGCCGGGGUAUGAACCCAAGUCUCCGAAGAAUUGGUAUCACAGAGAUGGUUCUGAGGGGUGUGUGAGGAAGCAGUUGGGGUUGUCGAUGUGUGGGAAUGGAGAAGGGUUUGUGAAGGUGGAGCUUUUGAAGGCUCCUGAUUCAUUUAAUGCAGUUUGGAUGGACAUGAGUAUGAGUAGCUCAGAGUGCGAGCAGGCAUGCUUGAGAAAUUGCUCUUGCACAGCUUUUGUAAGCAUGAAUAUUGAUGGAAAGGGGACCAGUUGUUUGGCAUGGUAUGGUGAAUUGAUUGACGUUUCGGAGAAUUCAUAUGAAAUGUGGGAUCUAAAUGUACGUGUAGAUGCAACUGAGUUAGCUGCUUACACAAGGAAGUCCAAUGGUUUUCUUGGCCACAAGAGGAAGCUGGCUAUUACAAUAAUUUCUGUUAUGGUGACACUGUUUCUGGUAUGCUUGAUAGGCUAUAUAUGCCUAAUGAAGAAGAGGAAAACAUCCCCCUCCAAAAAAAAAAAGGAUGAGGAAAACAAAAGGACAGUGAAGAGAAAAUUGCACCAUCAGUCAUUAUAUUUUAACGGUACCAUGGGCUAUUCGGAGGGAAAUGAGCUGGAGGAGAAUAGUAGACAUCCAGAUUUAUUCAUCUUUGAUCUAAGCUGCAUAGUUGCCGCCACUGACAAUUUCUCUCCAAUCAACAAACUGGGACAAGGUGGCUUCGGUUCUGUUUUUAAGGGUCAAUUAUCUAAUGGACAACAAGUAGCUGUAAAAAGGCUAUCCAACAGUUCUAGACAAGGAAUAGAGGAAUUCAAAAAUGAAGUUAUGUUAAUUGCAAAACUUCAACAUAGGAAUCUUGUCAAGCUUUUUGGUUGUUGCAUUCAAGGGGAAGAAAAGAUGUUGAUUUAUGAGUACAUGCCCAACAAAAGCUUAGAUUUCUUCAUUUUUGACCAUACAAGAAGUUCAUUGCUUAAUUGGGGGAAACGCCUUGAAAUCAUUAUUGGGAUCACUCGUGGGAUUUUGUAUCUUCAUCAAGACUCAAGAUUAAGAAUUAUACAUAGGGAUCUUAAAACUAGCAAUGUUCUCCUAGAUGGUGAGAUGAAUCCUAGAAUUUCAGAUUUCGGGAUAGCUCGUAUAUUCAAAGGGGACCAAAUUCAAGACAAGACAACUAGAGUUAUCGGAACAUAUGGUUAUAUGUCACCAGAGUAUGUAAUAUUUGGAAAAUUCUCAACAAAAUCAGAUGUCUUUAGUUUUGGUGUCGUAUUGUUGGAGAUCAUUAGUGGCAAGAAGAAUAACAUUUCUUAUCAAACACACCCUUCCCUAACUUUGAUAGGGCAUGUCUGGGAACUAUGGACAGAAGAUAGAGCCUUGGAUAUAGUUGAUUCAUCGAUUAUUGAGUCAAUUGUUUCUCAUGAAGUCUUGAGAUGCAUUCAAAUUGGGCUCUUAUGUGUGCAAGAAGAUGCAACGGAUCGACCAACAAUGUUGGCAAUUCUUCUCAUGCUAAGUUGUGAAACAACUCUUCCUUCUCCAAAUCAACCUGCUUUUGUUUUCAAAAGACCUACCAAGGAUAUGGGAUCAGUCACAGGAAAGGGGUUUUAUUCUAUAAAUGACGUGACAAUAACUACGUUUGAAGCUCGCUAAAAGGUGAUCUAAAAGUAAAAUAUAAGUGUUAGAGAAUAUAGCCUACUUCAGUGGAUUGUACUUUCCCCUAACCUCUGAAUAUAUAUAUUACUGCAAUGCAAGCCUCAUAUGCUAAUAAGUAAUAAUUGAAACAUAUUAGAGAAUGAUGUAACCUACAGACAAUUUCCUGUGCUCCAGGCAUAAGAACUUUUAGGAAAGCUAAAAGGCAAACAUGCAGUCUGUGGUGGAUAGUACUGUAGGAACAAUGUUCCUUUAAUUUUUCAAGUAAAUAUCCUCGUCAUAAUCAAAUGACAGGACUUGGUUUUCUGUUUAUUUUCACUUAUUAAUAGCUUAUUUAGUCUAAUCACCUUAAACCCUUGGAUAUUUUGAUUUUGUAAUGUAUGUCAAGUCCAGGUUUCAUAGGCCUAAGAUGCGGCUCAAAAGAAGACUGUUGUUUAUGAGUAAUUCGUAAUUUAGACAUCCAUUCAAUCGAUUGAAAGAUGAUUUUUGAGGGAUGUUGAAUUUGAUAGUGGCUCGAUGCAUUGAAAAUUGUGAAACCAAAAUCUAAUAAAAGGCCUAUUAUAGCAUGACUUCAACAAGAGGUUUAGAGAGAGAGAGAAAGCCUAAACUUCAUUUUGAUCAACCUUGAUUCAAAAGUCUUUAUUCAACAAUGGAGUUGGUAUUUUGGUGAUCAAGAGCUAAAGCCAGAGAGUCUAUUAUCUCAAUACGUUGCAGCAGAGAACAAAUUUUUAUGGUGGUAAGUGGUCCUUGGAGUAGUUUAGAGGGUCUAAUUGUGAUCACAGAUGCAGAUCGUGAGAGAAGGGAGAGAAGGGAUUCAUAGGGAAGAGUCCAAAAGGUCUGAAACUGGGGUGGGGUCAUGAGAAAUGAGAGAGAAGGAAUUCAUAAAUUGGUUUUGAGGUGGCUCGUUUGUUUGUUUUAAUUUAGUACAAACCCAAAAAUAAAUUGUCUUAUUCUAGCACAAAAACUAUAAAAGAAAACAAAGAGAUAAACACAGAAUCAUGGGUUUGUACAAUGCCCUUAAGUGUUUGACAAUGUCUUUUUAAUGGCUUAAUGCACAUACUCUUCAAAGGGUAUGUCUAAUUUUAGCCAA